GUCUCUCCUUACCCCCUACG
rnacentral:rRNA from 1 species